rnacentral:rRNA from 1 species
CCUACGGGUGGCAGCAGUGAGGAAUAUUGGUCAAUGGGCGCAAGCCUGAACCAGCCAUGCCGCGUGAAGGAAGACUGCCCUACGGGUUGUAAGCUGCUUUUGUAAGGGAGUAAAGUGAGGCACGUGUACCUGUAUGUCAGUAUUUUAUGAAUAAGGAUCGGCUAACUCCGUGCCAGCAGCCGCGGUAAUACGGAGGUUGCGAGCGUUAUCCGGAUUUAUUGGGUGUAAAGGGAGCGUAGACGGUGUGUUAAGUCAGAGGUGAAAUCUCGAGGCUCAACUGCGGAAUUGCAUUUGAUACUGGUUGGCUAGAGAGCAGUUGAGGUAGGCGGAAUUCAUGGUGUAGCGGUGAAAUGCGUAGAGAUCACAAAGAACACCGAUUGCGAAGGCAGCUUACUAAGCUGCUACUGACGUUGAGGCACGAAAGCGUGGGGAGCAAACAGGAUUAGAUACCCGAGUAGUC